UACGUAGGGUGCAAGCGUUGUCCGGAAUUAUUGGGCGUAAAGAGCUCGUAGGCGGUUUGUCGCGUCUGCUGUGAAAACCCGAGGCUCAACCUCGGGCCUGCAGUGGGUACGGGCAGACUAGAGUGUGGUAGGGGAGACUGGAAUUCCUGGUGUAGCGGUGAAAUGCGUAGAUAUCCGGAAGAACACCGAUGGCGAAGGCAACCACCUGGGCCUGCAUUGACGCUGAGGUACGAAAGCGUGGGGAGCAAACAGG
rnacentral:rRNA from 1 species